UUGCUCACUUUGGCAGCACAUAUACAAAAAUUGGAACGAUACAGAGAUUAGCAUGGCCCUUGUACAAGGAUGACUCGCAUAUUUGUGAAACAUUCCUGAUUUAA
ensembl:snRNA U6 U6 spliceosomal RNA